GAUGAACGCUGGCGGCGUGCCUAAUACAUGCAAGUCGAGCGCUCACAGGAGAAACUUGUCUUUCUGGUGUUAGCGGCGAACGGGUGAGUAAAACGUGGGGAACCUUCCUUUAAGCCGGGGACAACUUAGGGAAACCGGUGCUAAUACCGGAUAAACGUUUUAAACCCAAGGUUGAAGAGUGAAAGACGGACUUGCAUCCACUUAUCGAUGGUGCGAGUUGGAUUUAGCUGGUUGGUAGGGUAACGGCUCACCAGGGCAACGAUCCAUAGCCGGCCUGAGAGGGUGACCGGCCACACGGGAACGGAGACACGGUCCAGACUCCUACGGGAGGCAGCAGUGGGGAAUUUUGCACAAUGGGCGAAAGCCUGACGAAGCAAUGCCGCGUGGAUGAGGAAGGUCUUCGGUUCGUAAAAUACUUUUAGCGGGGAGGAAGAUAGUUAAAUUAAAAAGUUCACUAAUUGACGGUACCCACACAGAAAGCCACGGCUAACUCCGUG
rnacentral:rRNA from 1 species